UCCACCAUGACACUCUGGGCGCUGUACACUUCCUUUACAUCAUUCACAUACCCCUUCAAACAUUAACCCUGUGAAAACGAGACGAGAGUCAAUCUCUCAUCUUAGCGGGGAACCAGAACUUUUAUUAAUGUGUGUUAAAAUAUAAAAAAGUAAAAACACACACACACACACACAUAUAUAUAUAUAUAUAUAUAAUAUAAUUUUUCUGGUAAAAGAAUAUCAAUUAACAUAUCCUUUAGACAAUGGUGGCUCCGCCACUGCUUCCCCCCUCUCUCAACUCGGAUACUUAAACAUAGUUUGACGUGAUAUUUCAUUUCUAUUAUUUCAUGCUUCAUUAAUAUUUUUUAUUCAAAAAUCAUCCAAACAAUUAAAUUUCACCUGAAAAAAACGUUUAACAUUUUUAAUAACUGGAUUUUCUCUCUAUUUUUAUUGGAUAUAGAAGAGUUGAUGAUAAAAAUAUAUUUUCCUUGUCGUUUGUUUACUUUGAAACUUAUUAUAUGAUGAAUCUUUUUGUAUAUAUGAAUAUUAUUAAAAAUAGAACUCAGAUAAUAAUACUGGUGAAACUUUUGUUUUUCUUCUUCCUUUAAAUUUGAUAAUAGUAUCAAUUUUAAUAAGUGAUAAUUUUACUUAUAACAUAUUCAAAAAAAAUUCAAACUCGUAAAGAAAAAAGACGUGUUCAUAAAAUUAACCUUAAUUAAUAGUUACCUUGACACAUUGGAAUAUGUAAGUAAGGGUAAAUUUUAGAAAAAUAAAAUUAAUUCCUUCUUGAUUAUGUAAACGGACACUUAAAAUAGUCAUUUAUUGUGGACGAAAAAAAUACUAAGUAUGAGAAUUUUUUGAAAAAAUUAUCCCUUAUAUUUAAGGGUAAAUUUAACUUUAUCCUUCAAAUAUAAUCUUGAACACCAAUUGUCCUCUAAGUUUGCAAAAGUUGAACGCUUUUAGUCCCAGUAACAAAUAACAUGACAUUCGCAACUCUAUGUUCACCGGCUAUCUAGGUUGUUUGAAUUCGGUGGAAGUAAUAAUUUUCUCCGGUAGAAAAGCUGGCAAUCGACUGAUUUUGGGGGUGAAAGAGAGCUGGAUUUGAAUAAAACAAUAUUUCAUGUGUAGGUGAGGUAUAGCUCUGUUAGUUUUCUAACGAAUGUCAUGUUAUUUGUUACUUGGACUAAAAGCGCUUAACUUAUGCUAACUUAGAGGACAAUUCACGCUCAAUGUUAUAUUUGAAGGACAUAUAGCAAUAACAAACGCGUUUAGAAGUGAAACAAUUACUAUGAACAUAUUAUUUGAUUAAUAUCUUCAUAAAUUUUUACGACAGAGAGAGGGGGAGAGUCCAUUCUUAUUUUAUUUUCUCUUAUUAAUUAUUAGUGUUCAUUCAAUUCUGAGGCUAGCUAACUUGGUUUAAAAACACCAUUCUUACCAAGGAGAAAUUACGUAUUAGUACAAGAAAAGAAAAGGAAAAAAAAACAAUAUGUAGUGAUAGACUUAUCAACUUAAACAAUUUUUUGCAGUACAAAAUUAUUAAUGCUAACAAACACCACAUAUUCCUUUCUCGCAAAAUCUACAUAAGCAUAAUCACCCAGCUAGUAUAGGCUAAAACCCUAAAAUAACCUAACUGAAAAAAAUUUAAAAGUUAUGGAAUUAUAAAAAAAUUACAUGUGUAAAUUAAACUAAGCUAUCUAUACCAUAAUUUAUACAAAGUUGAAAUUGGUGAAUACAAAUAAUGAAUCACCAAUAUAAUACAGAGGAAAACUCUACAACCAAAAGACAAAUUAAUGAAUGAAAACUAAAUCACUAUACCUUUAACGGAUAACAAGAGGAACUCUAAAUGUGCAUGCAGAAUUUAAGCCUUUUUUUUCUUGUUGUGUAGAGGAUUUGGUCCAGUGGGAACUCUUCUCUUAUCAGAUUCUAAGUCUCGAGCAAACGGAGCACUCGCCUGAGGUUGAAAAAAUUGAUGUUUUCUCGCCGUCGACGGACCGGAAAAUCGUGACGGCGGUGUCCGGCCGAAGGCGUGAAGUAAUACAAUUUGAGAAGUGAAGAGGAGAAAGAAGAAGAAAAAGAAAUGAAAGAGACUGUUCAUGUUUGAAGAAUGUUGUUAUGUUAAAGUGCUAGAAAAGGUUGAAAAUGGUAGCUAGCAUUUUGUGGAUUAUAUAUAUGGACAUGGUUGGUCCAGGCUUCCUGUUAUAAAAUUAAUGAUUAAAUCACAUGAAAUUCCG
rnacentral:lncRNA from 1 species